rnacentral:rRNA from 1 species
UACAGGGGGGGCAAGCGUUGUUCGGAAUUACUGGGCGUAAAGGGCUCGUAGGUGUCCAACUAAGUCGGACGUGAAAUCCCUCAGCUUAACUGGGGAACUGCAUCCGAUACUGGAUGGCUUGAGUUUGGGAGAGGGAUGCGGAAUUCCAGGUGUAGCGGUGAAAUGCGUAGAUAUCUGGAGGAACACCGGUGGCGAAGGCGGCAUCCUAGACCAACACUGACACUGAGGAGCGAAAGCGUGGGGAGCAAACAGG